rnacentral:rRNA from 1 species
UUAUGGCUCAGGACGAACGCUGGCGGCGUGCUUAACACAUGCAAGUCGAACGGAGUAUUCCGACACGGAGCCACUUGAGAAAGUGGUUGCGUGUUGGGGAUAACUUAGUGGCGAACGGGUGAGUAACGCGUAAGCAAUCUGUCUUACAGAGGGGGAUAACGUUUGGAAACGAACGCUAAUACCGCAUAACGUCAUGAAAAGGCAUCUUUUUAUGACCAAAGGAGCAAUCCGCUGAAAGAUGAGCUUGCGUCCGAUUAGCCAGUUGGCGGGGUAACGGCCCACCAAAGCGACGAUCGGUAGCCGGACUGAGAGGUCGGCCGGCCACAUUGGGACUGAGACACGGCCCAGACUCCUACGGGAGGCAGCAGUGGGGAAUAUUGGUCAAUGGGCGAAAAAGCCUGAACCAGCAACGCCGCGUGAAGGAAGAAGGCCUUCGGGUUGUAAACUUUUGUCUUCAGGGACGAAAAAGAUGACGGUACCUGAGGAGGAAGCCACGGCUAACUACGUGCCAGCAGCCGC